GAUGAACGCUGGCGGCGUGCCUAAUACAUGCAAGUCGAGCGAACAGACGAGGAGCUUGCUCCUCUGACGUUAGCGGCGGACGGGUGAGUAACACGUGGAUAACCUACCUAUAAGACUGGGAUAACUUCGGGAAACCGGAGCUAAUACCGGAUAAUAUAUUGAGCCGCAUGGUUCAAUAGUGAAAGACGGUUUUGCUGUCACUUAUAGAUGGAUCCGCUCCGCAUUAGCUAGUUGGUAAGGUAACGGCUUACCAAGGCAACGAUGCGUAGCCGACCUGAGAGGGUGAUCGGCCACACUGGAACUGAGACAAGGUCCAGACUCCUACGGGAGGCAGCAGUAGGGAAUCUUCCGCAAUGGGCGAAAGCCUGACGGAGCAACGCCGCGUGAGUGAUGAAGGUCUUCGGAUCGUAAAACUCUGUUAUUAGGGAAGAACAAAUGUGUAAGUAACUAUGCACGUCUUGACGGUACCUAAUCAGAAAGCCACGGCUAACUACGUG
rnacentral:rRNA from 1 species